CCUACGGGUGGCAGCAGUGAGGAAUAUUGGUCAAUGGACGAGAGUCUGAACCAGCCAAGUAGCGUGAAGGAUGAAUGCCCUAUGGGUUGUAAACUUCUUUUAUAUGGGAAUAAAAUGUUCCACGUGUGGGAUUUUGUAUGUACCAUAUGAAUAAGGAUCGGCUAACUCCGUGCCAGCAGCCGCGGUAAUACGGAGGAUCCGAGCGUUAUCCGGAUUUAUUGGGUUUAAAGGGUGCGUAGGUGGAUUGGUAAGUCAGUUGGGAAAGUUUGGGGCUCAACCGUAAGAUUGCAGUUGAAACUGGCAGUCUUGAGUACAGUAGAGGUAGGCGGAAUGCGUGGUGUAGCGGUGAAAUGCUUAGAUAUCGCGAAGAACUCCGAUUGCGAAGGCAGCUCACUGGACUGCAACUGACACUGAGGCUCGAAAGUGUGGGUAUCAAACAGGAUUAGAUACCCGAGUAGUC
rnacentral:rRNA from 1 species